rnacentral:rRNA from 1 species
AUUGAACGCUGGCGGCAGGCUUAACACAUGCAAGUCGAGCGGGGGAAGGUAGCUUGCUACCGGACCUAGCGGCGGACGGGUGAGUAAUGCUUAGGAAUCUGCCUAUUAGUGGGGGACAACAUCUCGAAAGGGAUGCUAAUACCGCAUACGUCCUACGGGAGAAAGCAGGGGAUCACUUGUGACCUUGCGCUAAUAGAUGAGCCUAAGUCGGAUUAGCUAGUUGGUGGGGUAAAGGCCUACCAAGGCGACGAUCUGUAGCGGGUCUGAGAGGAUGAUCCGCCACAAUGGGACUGAGACACGGCCCAGACUCCUACGGGAGGCAGCAGUGGGGAAUAUUGGACAAUGGGGGGAACCCUGAUCCAGCCAUGCCGCGUGUGUGAAGAAGGCCUUAUGGUUGUAAAGCACUUUAAGCGAGGAGGAGGCUCUUUUGGUUAAUACCCAAGAUGAGUGGACGUUACUCGCAGAAUAAGCACCGGCUAACUCUGUGCCAGCCGCCGCGGUAA